GAUGAAGAACGUAGUGAAAUGCGAUAAGUAAUGUGAAUUGCAGAAUUCCGUGAAUCAUCGAAUCUUUGAACGCACAUUGCGCCCUCUGAUAUUCCGGGGGGCAUGCCUGUCCGAGCGUCAUUUGCAACCCUCAAGCCCGGCUUGUGUGAUGGGUGCCGUCCCCUACGGGACGCGCCCCGAAGGCAAUGGCGGCGUCGCGGUUAUCCGAUCAGCCAAAGUGUAUGGGGCUUUGUCACUCACUUUACGGCCCGGACCGGCGCCAGUCCGAAUCAAUCUUUUUUCUAAAGUUGACCUCGGAUCAGGUAGGGAUACCCGCUGAACUUAAGCAUAUCAAUAAGCGGAGGA
rnacentral:misc_RNA from 1 species